rfam:Winogradskyella sp. PC-19 genome.
AAUUAAGAGGAAAGAUUUGACUGAUUGCAACCUCUGGAAAAAAUUGCUAAAGACAGUGUU